GACAGAGGGUGCAAACGUUGUUCGGAAUUACUGGGCGUAAAGCGCGUUUAGGCGGCCAUGCAAGUCGGAUGUGAAAGCCCUCGGCUCAACCGGGGAAGUGCACUCGAAACUGCAAGGCUAGAGUCUCGGAGAGGAUCGUGGAAUUCUCGGUGUAGAGGUGAAAUUCGUAGAUAUCGAGAGGAACACCGGUGGCGAAGGCGGCGAUCUGGACGAUGACUGACGCUGAGACGCGAAAGCGUGGGGAGCAAACAGG
rnacentral:rRNA from 1 species